AUUUUCUAGAGCCAAGAGAAGGGUUCUUACACAUGAACCCUAAAACUCACAAACUUGAUCAAAAUCAAAGGAAAUUGAGCGAAGAAAUUGGGGCUUUUAAUAAAUUCGUGAUCACCCAAUCUAGGAGAUCACAAGUUUGACGCUUAAACGAGCUAGGUGGAGGCUUGGGAAAGAAGCGGUCAAAUAAAUAAAGUACAAGAAGGGAAGCGUAAACCGGAUCCGAGGAAACAACAUAAACGUGCGUUGCUUUAACUAGAAAGAUUUAAAGCAAAAAGUUAUGUAAACGGGUCAAUACCUUGACCCGAGCCAGGAGAUCGCCAAGAGUGCCCAGAUGAAGAUCAAGCUCGAUGAAGAACCGAACACAUGAUAACGAAGCUUCCGCAUUAAACUUUGUUUUGAUUUCAUAAUGUGAAUUAUGGAAACGCUUAAGAUUGGUAUUAUGAAUGUUUCAAACUUGUGUGAACAUUCUUGAUGGAAAAGUUUUUAUUAA